UCCCGAGUGCUGUGUGAUUUCCUUGGUCGUGUUCUUUGGAAUGGCUUCCCCCCCAUUUUCUGAAGCUGGCCACAGAAAGGUUAACUUUUGCAAAUUCCGUGCUGAAAAAUGUUGCUACUAAGGAUGGUUGGUGUCAAAAGAGGUUCUUUUCUCGCUUGAAUUCAUUAAAAUCUCCAGGUGAGGGGAAGAUUGUAUCUAUUCCUCUCUUUUUAAAGCAAAUUUUCCAAGAGGGAUCUAAAAUUGCAUUUGAGGGUUGGGGUGUGGUUUUUUUCCCUUCUUUCAUGUGCAACCUAACAACUCCAACUUCACAGGCCUAUUUAACAUUUGAUCCAUCAAAAUCAGUCCUUUGAUUUGUGUUUUGGAAACUUGUUCAUCUUGGGGAAUUUGUCAUCUUCUCAGGGUAUUGAAGGUCAACCAAAUGCUGCAGGUUUCAUUCUUCCUUUAAUAUGGUCUAUGUGCUGGAGUUUGACUCUUAAGCAGAACUCAUUUUUUAUUUUGCAGCCUAGCACUUCUACUGUGGGGCUCUGGGCAGGUCAAUUCACUUGAGAACGAUGGGUAAAUCAGCUCCUGGGAAGCUGUGCACUGCCUGGCCCCGAUGCUUCAGCAUGCUUGAGGUCAG